rfam:Myotis davidii contig32426, whole genome shotgun sequence.
GGUGAUCCUUGGGUGACACGCCCUGGAAUCAGGCUCCCUCCUCACUCGUUCCAGGUAUGUCACCUGAGAACCGCA